GACUGCUUGAUGGCACCGGUGUGUCGGGCAUUGCUUCCUCCUGACAUCUGAGCCCUGGAAGACCCUGGAGUGGGUCAGACCCUUUCACAGGCAGAUAAACCAAUCCAGCGUUCCAGCUACCAGCUGCCAUCGUCAUCAGCUCUCACACUCUGGGCCUGGUCCCCUGCCCUCCCCACCCUGGACCAGUGGGAACCACAGGGAAGGCUCUUCCUGGUCACGCUUUCUCC